rnacentral:piRNA from 1 species
ACUACCCUAAUAUGUACAAUGUAA